GGAAAAGACUUCUAUAACAAUUUAAAUUAGUAAUAUGGCUUAUUAUGCAUUCUAUAUUGUGCCUUAACCUUAAGGGUCUUGUGCAUUCUCUGGAUUUACAUUUUUAGGCUACUGGAAUAGAUGAUUUAUCCCUGUUGUUGUUUUGAUGGUUUUUAACUUCUGGUAAACUAUAUUGUAUCCUGUCAGAAGGCAUAGCCUCUUAUAAUUGUAUGCUAGAAAAUUUUGGUUAAAUUUCAAAUUUUGCUGUGG
rnacentral:misc_RNA from 1 species